AUUGAACGCUGGCGGCAGGCCUAACACAUGCAAGUCGAACGAGUGGCGGACGGGUGUGUAAUGUGUGGAAAACUGCCUGGUGGAGGGGGAUCUCUUCUAGAAACGGUAGCUAAUACCGCAUACUCUCAUAUGUCCCCAGAUGGGAUUAGCUAGUUGGUGGGGUAACGGCUCACCAAGGCGACGAUCCCUAGCUGGUCUGAGAGGAUGACGAGCCACACUGGAACUGAGACACGGUCCAGACUCCUACGGGAGGCAGCAGUGGGGAAUAUUGCACAAUGGGCGCAAGCCUGAUGCAGCCAUGCCGCGUGUAUGAAGAAGGCCUUCGGGUUGUAAAGUACUUUCAGCGGGGAGGCGUUACCCGCAGAAGAAGCACCGGCUAACUCCGUGCCAGCAGCCGCGGUAAUUC
rnacentral:rRNA from 1 species